GGAGAGGUGUCCGAGAGGCCGAAGGAGCACGCUUGGAAAGCGUGUGUACGGCAACGUACCGUGGGUUCGAAUCCCACCCUCUCCGCCA
rnacentral:tRNA from 1 species